rnacentral:tRNA from 1 species
UCCACUAUACCAUUCUAGGAUGUCUGGCUUUCACCCAGCAUACCUGGGUUCGAUUCCCAGCAAUGGAA